GAAUUGAGAGAAACAAUGCAAACUCGCCAUAAAAAUCAAGAAGAAGAAGAAAAAGAAGAGAACAAAGUGAAAUGAUGUAAUUGGGGGGUUCCCCGCUGAGACAGGAAAAGAGCUAUCAGACUCCGAUUACAGCAAAGCAAAAUAACAACUCCUACCUGCAAGAGACUUUAUCUUCAAGACAUCAACAGUUAAAAUGAGAGAAGCGAUACAGUGAUCAUUCUGUUCGCUUUUCUCGUUUUUGGUGUGUUUGGUGAUACACAUGCAGUGAAGUCAGUAUCAGUGAUGGAGGGAGAUAGUUUUUUAUUCUAAGAAUUAAUGUUUCCAAACAACACCAUGAACCAAUGCGGUGGUAUUUUAAUG